rnacentral:rRNA from 1 species
UACGUAGGGCGCAAGCGUUGUCCGGAAUUAUUAGGCGUAAAGAGCUCGUAGGCGGUUUGUCGCGUCUGGUGUGAAAACUCGAGGCUCAACCUCGAGCUUGCAUCGGGUACGGGCAGACUAGAGUGCGGUAGGGGAGACUGGAAUUCCUGGUGUAGCGGUGGAAUGCGCAGAUAUCAGGAGGAACACCGAUGGCGAAGGCAGGUCUCUGGGCCGCAACUGACGCUGAGGAGCGAAAGCAUGGGGAGCGAACAGG